rnacentral:rRNA from 1 species
CCUACGGGAGGCUGCAGUGAGGAAUAUUGGUCAAUGGUCGGGAGACUGAACCAGCCAAGCCGCGUGAGGGAGGACGGUACAGCGGAUCGUAAACCUCUUUUGUCAGGGAACAAAGGCGGGGACGUGUCCCCGGAUGAGUGUACCUGAAGAAAAAGCAUCGGCUAACUCCGUGCCAGCAGCCGCGGUAAUACGGAGGAUGCGAGCGUUAUCCGGAUUUAUUGGGUUUAAAGGGUGCGCAGGCGGUCUGUUAAGUCAGCGGUCAAAGUCGGGGGCUCAACCCCGGACCGCCGUUGAAACUGGCAGUCGCGAGUUGGAGAGAAGUAUGCGGAAUGCGCGGUGUAGCGGUGAAAUGCAUAGAUAUCGCGCAGAACUCCGAUUGCGAAGGCAGCAUGCCGGCUCCACACUGACGCUGAGGCACGAAAGCGUGGGUAUCGAACAGGAUUAGAUACCCUUGUAGUC